rnacentral:rRNA from 1 species
UUUCCGGUUGAUCCUGCCGGACCUUACUGCUAUCGGGGUGGGACUAAGACAUGCGAGUCGAGCGUCUCUAGCUAUGUUGAGACGCGGCAUACGGCUCAGUAACACGUGGCUAACCUACCCUCAGGACAGGGACAACCCCGGGAAACUGGGGCUAAUACCCGAUAGGUGAGGAUACCUGGAAUGGUUUCUCACUCAAAGGGCUUUGGAAACAUGCUUCCUCUGUCGCCUGGGGAUGGGGCCGCGACCGAUCAGGUUGUUGGUGAGGUAACGGCUCACCAAGCCUAUAACCGGUACGGGCCGUGAGAGCGGUAGCCCGGAGAUGGGUACUGAGACAAGGACCCAGGCCCUACGGGGCGCAGCAGUCGCGAAAACUCCGCAAUGCACGAAAGUGUGACGGGGCUAUCCCGAGUGCCAUCCGCUGAGGAUGGCUUUUCCUUGGUUUAACUAGCCGGGGGAAUAAGGAGAGGGCAAGACUGGUGUCAGCCGCCGCGGUAAUACCAGCUCUCCGAGUGGUAGGGAUGAUUAUUGGGCUUAAAGCGUCCGUAGCCGGCUUAGCAAGUCUCCUGUUAAAUUCAGCGACCUAAUCGUUGAGCCGCGGGAGAUACUACUAGGCUAGGAGGCGGGAGAGGUCGACGGUACUUCUGGGGUAGGGGUGAAAUCCUAUAAUCCCGGGAGGACCACCAGUGGCGAAGGCUGUCGACUAGAACGCGCUCGACGGUGAGGGACGAAAGCUGGGGGAGCGAACCGGAUUAGAUACCCGGGUAGUCCCAGCUGUAAACGAUGCGGGCUAGGUGUUGGGGUGGCUACGUGCCACUUCAGUGCCGCAGGGAAGCCAUUAAGCCCGCCGCCUGGGGAGUACGGCCGCAAGGCUGAAACUUAAAGGAAUUGGCGGGGGAGCACCACAAGGCGUGAAGCUUGCGGUUCAAUUGGAUUCAACGCCGGA